UUCGCUUCCUUUUCAUGAAAU
rnacentral:piRNA from 1 species